AGAGUUUGAUCCUGGCUCAGAUUGAACGCCGGCGGCAUGCCUUACACAUGCUAGUCGAACGGCAGCACGGGGGCAACCCUGGUGGCGAGUGGCGAACGGGUGAGUAAUGCAUCGGAACGUGCCCAAUAGUGUGGGAUAGCCCGGCGAAAGCCGGAUUAAUACCGCAUACGACCUAAGGGUGAAAGCGGGGGACCGUAAGGCCUCGCGCUAUUGGAGCGGCCGAUGUCAGAUUAGGUUGUUGGUGGGGUAAAAGCCUACCAAGCCGACGAUCUGUAGCUGGUCUGAGAGGACGACCAGCCACACUGGGACUGAGACACGGCCCAGACUCCUACGGGAGGCAGCAGUGGGGAAUUUUGGACAAUGGGCGCAAGCCUGAUCCAGCCAUGCCGCUGCGGGAAGAAGGCCUUCGGGUUGUAAACCGCUUUUGUCAGGGAAGAAAUCCCUUGAGUUAAUACCUCGGGGGGAUGACGGUACCUGAAGAAUAAGCACCGGCUAACUACGUGCCAGCAGCCGUAAUACGUAGGGUGCGAGCGUUAAUCGGAAUUACUGGGCGUAAAGCGUGCGCAGGCGGUUAUGCAAGACAGAUGUGAAAUCCCCGGGCUUAACCUGGGAACUGCAUUUGUGACUGCAUAGCUGGAGUGCGGCAGAGGGGGAUGGAAUUCCGCGUGUAGCAGUGAAAUGCGUACAUAUGCGGAGGAACACCGAUGGCGAAGGCAAUCCCCUGGGCUUGCACUGACGCUCAUGCACGAAAGCGUGGGGAGCAAACAGGAUUAGAUACCCUGGUAGUCCACGCCCUAAACGAUGUCAACUGGUUGUUGGAAGGGUUCCCUUUCAGUAACGAAGCUAACGCGUGAAGUUGACCGCCUGGGGAGUACGGCCGUAAGGUUGAAACUCAAAGGAAUUGACGGGGACCCGCACAAGCGGUGGAUGAUGUGGUUUAAUUCGAUGCAACGCGAAAAACCUUACCUACCCUUGACAUGCCAGGAAUCCUGCAGAGAUGUGGGAGUGCUCGAAAGAGAACCUGGGCACAGGUGCUGCAUGGCCGUCGUCAGCUCGUGUCGUGAGAUGUUGGGUUAAGUCCCGCAACGAGCGCAACCCUUGUCAUUAGUUGCUACGAAAGGGCACUCUAAUGAGACUGCCGGUGACAAACCGGAGGAAGGUGGGGAUGACGUCAGGUCCUCAUGGCCCUUAUGGGUAGGGCUACACACGUCAUACAAUGGCCGGUACAGAGGGCUGCCAACCCGCGAGGGGGAGCUAAUCCCAGAAAACCGGUCGUAGUCCGGAUCGCAGUCUGCAACUCGACUGCGUGAAGUCGGAAUCGCUAGUAAUCGCGGAUCAGCUUGCCGCGGUGAAUACGUUCCCGGGUCUUGUACACACCGCCCGUCACACCAUGGGAGCGGGUUCUGCCAGAAGUAGUUAGCCUAACCGCAAGGAGGGCGAUUACCACGGCAGGGUUCGUGACU
rnacentral:rRNA from 1 species